rnacentral:rRNA from 1 species
GUUUUAAGGAUAAGACACUAUUAGGAUAGGAUACUUGGUUUUCUCCGCAUUCUAAGCGGGCGUAGAGGAAGCUAAGGAAGGAGUCAAACAGAGCCUUAGGCCGUUCUAGCCUCCAGAGCGGCCUUGGGCCGCAACCGGCAUGGCUGGGGCCGACCUAGAGGCCCGAGUUCUCAAUAACUACCAAGAACCCUAGGUCUCCCACACCGACUCCUCAAGAGCCGCUACUCGUCCGACCGCAGCCUCGAGGUGGCCAACGCCUCCAGCGGUACCCUCCACGACACGAGGCGCGACCAUAGUACGCCGGACCAAGAGAAGAGCGUCGAGCGGCACCGGUAUCACGGGGCGGAGGAGGGUAGGUAGAGGGAGGAGCGGUACGAGGGGCAGCGUCCAAACCAUAAGGACCGCCGAUAAGACCACCCGUCCAAGACCUCCUCCAAGUAGCCUCACCGGCGCAGCCGCGGCGACAAGCACGACAAGUUGCACGACAAAAACACCCCGCAGAUGGAUAAGCAGUAGGCCUCUCUAUGGAGAAGAGAUGAUCUGUACGACUAAUUACGACUCACACGUGACGAAGACACCCCUGAAAUGUCCUAAGAAAGACCACUAGGGCCGUAACAACGUAUGCUUAGAAGUAAAAACCUUCUCCGACCGACGUUCCUAAAGCACCUACGAUAUACGAGCUCACUCUUCAUAGGUAGUGAGAGUUCCCACUCCGUAACAUUGACAACGUUUCGUUUACAAUCUCCAAUACUGGUGGUAACGGGACGUAAACCAUUAACGUAUCCUGUCUUUUUAGUAUCCGAUAAAUACCGUGAAAACUGUCCUAAACAACAACGACUUAGCUGUAUAUGUUACACAAGUUGAUUUAUAUAUUGAUCAACGUAUUGGAGUCCUUGAAAUUCUUGACUCUUAGUAAACAGAGAUUUGUACCACUAGCCGUGUUACGAGAAGAGUCAGGAGGUUCACUAUACCGUCCAACACAAGGACUAUACCGUACACAUGCCGUAGACGAAGUUGUAGUCCUGCCUACUCACCCAUUACAGUUUAAAGGGUACGAAACCUGAGAAAGAAGUGGUUAACGUCCAGCAGAAGAGCAAACGACAAAGAAUAUCGAUUCUCCACUCUAAAUAGGUCUAUUUGACCUUCUUUAUAGGACUUAAGGUUUACUUCCUUGUCGGAGUCAGUCUAAAACUUCAGUUCAAACAGUUAGGUAUGCUGUUUCCGUACGAAACAUUGUAAUCCCUCAAGGACUUCGGCUUUAUUAUGUUCAUAUUAGAUUUUGCGUGGCUCUGGCCUCUUGUGGGUGAGUUCUAAGGACUUCUAUAAAAAACGGACAAUGACAUGGUGACUAAGUAUAAGUAACCAAACACAUAGUAAACCUGACACCGUCAAGUCUCAGACAGAAUUAUGCUCGUUAAUUGUAAAAAACUUUUAGGAGCAACUUACGAUAGACGUACGACUACUUACGGCGCAGCGACGUUUACACUAAAUCCGUGGGCGUGUUCAUACCACUAGUCAAGUAGUCAUACCGUUAGUCCGAUAUAAUGACGUUUACCAUGAUAAUGUAGAGUAACAAAACUCGCGAUGUGGAAACUCGUCCGUGAUCGCUAACCGUUACGUGACCUUUGACUAUAUGUACGUUAAUACGUUCCCUACCGCAACCGAUAUGUUGUAAAGUGAGACAGGUUAGACAAAGUUCACUCCGGAAUAACAGAUAGUCCUUGUCUCAACUAACCAGUAGAGCACCGACUUUAGUUCUUCAACUACUCUCUGUCCCUCAAAUAAAGAGUCUACAACUAAUCCUAAUUUUAUCUCAACGGUUGGCAAACCGUUUGAUAUCAGCAUAUC